AAAGACUCAGCAAGGGCAGCUGGUUAAAUUCUUUUCAUGUUGAAUCACACAGGUGAAACAUCACUGCACAUGGUUCACAACUAAAUUAGAACAUAUGGAUCAAUAUCUAGUGAGCUUUUUUUUAGAAAAAAAAUUUAAAAAGACUCCUUUCUCUAGCCCAUGUUAAACAACAAAAUAUGACAUUUAUUCAGUUUUUACAAAACUACGCUUCUCUAUAACCUCAAUCACCUUAUAAAAAUUGAUUAACUGAUAUAUUUUGGCCUUGCCUUUCAAUUUCUACCCUAGCGGCUACUAGUGCAUGAGAAUUUAAACCAAAAGGGAACAGAAUGACUUUUCUGCAGGUGCUGAAUUCACAAGAUUCCUGUUUAGAAAUGUACCCUCUCUCUCGUUCCCUCAUUCCUUCUCCAGCAAAAUGUUCCAACUUUCUUCAUCUUCUUCAUCUAAAACUUCUUAGUAGACUGACCUGGUUAGAACAAUCAUUUGUAUUUCCUCGUAGACUAUACUAUUAGCCUUGGGCUUUUAGGAUUCAACCCAUUUCAUGUACCUUUCUAGAAUUCCAUCCUUGAGGAGAAUAUGCCUUAUUUAUCUAGUUUGCCCACACUGAAGUGACCUUCAGUUUUAAGCCAUCUACCUAUCUUUGCAAGUCCACCACUUGCCUGAAUCCCACCACUUGCCUAAACUUCAAGCUUUAAUGUCGUACGAACCACCUGAUACUGAACACCACUAUCUGACUCAUUAAAAGACCAUGAUCCAGGACACCUUUCCUGCUACCUAUCUUGAACAUGCAGCUCACCACCAUUUUUCCUUAUGUGACAUCUUAUCCAAAUCAAAGCACUUAUUUGCUGCUUAUAGAGCUUAUGCAGUGAUAGACAAAAUGAUUUUUCUUUGGUUUCAAUUUAUUUAUUUACCCAAAGUAAAAGAAUAUCUCACAAGCAUAGGCUUCCCUGAGGAAAGCUAAACAACUGUAGAGAAUCCAAGGACAAAACAAGAUUAUAUGAAAUGAUACUAUUACUGUUUUCUGGGCUGUUUUGCAGACUGAAUUCAGAUUCAGAGUUCAAAAUGCAAAAUGAGUUAAAGUUUGUUUAAAAAAAGAUUCACCAUAUGGAAGUUAACGGAGCUUUCAGUGUUUUGAUAUGCCCGAACCUCUGAUGAAGUCAAAUAUUCACUACGACUCUUAUUUAGCCUGAUGUUUAACUACCAUUUAACCUUAUUUUCACCAAAAUUUCUUGUUAAAAGAAUUUACAAGGUCUGAAGUAAGAUAUACCCAUUAUCAUUUUUAAAAAUGUGUGCUUGUACAUUAAAGGCUAUGCCUCCUUCACUUAAAAUGAACAAUCCAAGUGGAAUAGAAUGGCUUACAACUGACCAAGAAAUAAAUAUGGCUCAUUAUGCUAAUGAGAAAAAUUAAAAAAAAAAGUGCUCUCAAUGUUGAUGACAAGUCAAGGAACACAGAUUAAAGAUGACUUUAUGAAGAAAAUCCACUGAAGAAAACACUAUUUCUUUGAUUCAAUGAUUUAUUUUGCAGAAAGGCAGCAAUGUCACACUAUCCUACAGGUUCAACAGUUAUGUAUCACUAAACUUGUAUUAGGAACAAGUAAAUGAUUUUCUGAACUCUAUUUUCCUGGUUACCUCCUAGGAUGAGUAGUACACCCUUUUAAUUUUACAUUCUAUAAAACUACCCCACAAUGUAACUGAUCACCAAAAAUAGUAAAUUAGAACUAAAUAUACUCUAUUAGCUAAGGAAGUACAUCAUUGUGUGUUUCCAAAGAUUACCCUCAAAAAUAGGCACAAUUAUCUGAAAGCUUUAACUUGCCCUAGACAUUUCCUAACCAUAAUGGGCAACUAAUGAUGCAAUAAAAUUCUAUUCUAUAUUCUACAUUCUAUUAGUCCACUGGUCAUUUGGGGCACGAAGUGGGGGGAGGGGGUAUGUAGGAGGUGACUGCCAUUCCCGGCCUGUUUUAACCUUUCAGAGAUGAUGUCUGCCAUUUAAAGGCCCCGCCUGACCCCAUUGGCAGCAGUUCCCGCCAAUCCGCUCGGUCACCGCCCCCCAAGCCCGCCUGCCCAGCCCUGAUUGGAUGGGACGGGAGCCGGGACCUCGUGUUACCAAUCUGGGAGCCCCUUACUCAGCCACACACGCAAGCCCAGGUAACCGAAGACCUUACUAGUCAAGGACCACCGUAAUACAGGUUCAAGGCCUCAAUUCCUCUUGACCACCAAAAUGACAAAAAUCUGAGCUGAAAACUUGGCAAGGACUUUUUACUUACAGCUCUUCCUUGAGGGUGAACUUCAGGGUUCUAGAUUCAAGUAGAUGUGGAUUUCUUAGAGUGCCUACCUUGGUGGGUCCUAGACUUUGCGUUUUGCAUCCCUAACCCUACAAACCCACCAAAAGUGUAGCUCAGUUGCAGUACAAAGCUAUUAACUACACAACUUGCAAGUACCCUGAAGCCAAAUAUGUGCCUUUAUGUGCUACAUUUACAAGGGACAAGCAUGUGGUUCAGGGAAGAGAUGCAAGAGAUAAAAGGUCUGGACUAGAGUAUUAGAGAGAUUCAGUGGAUUCUUAGGUAGAAUCUAAUUCAGUGAUUAUUUAACUGAGGGUAUGAAGGAGGAAGCAGUCAAGAAUGACUGUUUUCUGGUUUGAGCUACUGAGUACAAGUGUCAGUAACAGAGGAGAUUUACAGGGGAAGAUGAUGAGGUUCCAUUUUGGAUGCUUUGAAUUUGAGAUGCCUUUGAAUCAUCUAAGCAGUGUUGUCUUUGAAGCAGCUGGACAUAGAGGGCUACAGGAGGCCUUGGACUGGAGUUAGCCUGUUGAUAAUUGAAGCCUAGGAAGUAGGGAUGAUCUCACCCAGGGAAAGAAUAUCAAGUGUGAGGUAACGACCUAGAUUUGAACCUGAAGAAUGUCAACAUAUUAGGGACAUGCAGGAGAGUAAACUGAAGACAAAUGGUUAGAGCAAGAGAAGAAAACAAGAAUGUGAUGUCAUCAAAGCCAAGAGAAAAGAAUCAUCAGUAGUGUCAAAUGCUUCCUAGAGGGGCACCUGACUGGCUCAGUAAGUAGAGCAUUGGACGCUUGAGCUCGUCGGGAUCAUGAGUUCAAGACCCACAAUGGGGAUAGAAUUUACUAAAAAACAAAACAAGACAAAAAAUGCUCCCUGGAGAUCAAGGUAAGGAAUGAUCCACUGAGUUUAGUGACCUCAUUUGUAACCUUGCAAAGCAGUUCUGGUAGAGUGGAGGGGCAGAAACCAGACUACAGUGCACUGAGGAUGAUUGGGCAGUGAAAAAUGGAGAAAAUGAUUCAGCAACAUGGAUUAUUAAUCUCAAAAUCAGUAUGUUGAGCAAAAGAAGCCUACUCAAGAAUGCAUACUAUAAGGAUUCCCUUUGGAUGAAAUCCCUGAGCAGGCCAAACUAAUUUAUGGUGACAGCAAGCAGAUGGUGUUUUGAACUGCUUUAUGAACAGAUCCGUUUGGAUUGUACACCUCCUAGUGAAUAGUACUCACUGAGCCAUGUAUUCAAAAUACUGAAUAAUGCUACAUGUAAAGUCACUGUGGAAGGUGCUUUGAAGACUACAAACAUGAAUGAGACAUGGUCCUUACUCUUCAGGAGCUUGCAGUCCAGGGAAAAAUAAGUGAGACAUGCCUACAAGAAACUGACAUAGACAAUAAAGUGGGCACAGAUAAAGAACUGCUGAUGGUUCUCAGAAACAGUAAUUUCUAUUUGAGGAUGUUAGAAGCAAAGAGACCAUUGAAGAGACUAGUUUAAUAGUUCAGCCAAAAGAUUAUCAGCGCUUGAACUAGAAGAGAGGCAAUGAAGACUGAGAGGGAGAAAAGGAUAGUAGAGCCGUUGCAGAAGCAGAAAUUGCUGAUUAGAUACGGAGAGUGAGGAGACAAAUACAGAAUGAAGUCAAAGUUUACUUGGUCAGCCAAGUGCAUGGUGGAGCCUUUCACGCUGAUAAGACAAUUCAAGAGGAAGAGCAAUUUGACAGAUUAGAAGGCAGAAGUCAGUACGCUCAUUCCAUCUCCCUCUCUCUAGACUUCGUCCCUGUGGCCUACAGUUGAGUGGUGGCCAUAUUCCUAUGCCUAAGGGUCAAUUCUGUCAGCCUAUGGAGGUCAUAGCGCCCAAAUGGUGCUAGCCCCUAGGAGCUUUACAACUUGUUGACUGUAAUUCAGCCCACGUCUUUCUAUACCCCUUCAUUAAAUCUUCUCAGUAACCCUAUUUGUUACUCCUUUCUGUCAGGACCUUAAACACGUCGUACUUGUGUAUUUUUAAAUAAAGUGUGUAUAUUGAGUGUACGUGUAUGUGUGUGUGUGUAUAUAUAUAUAAAAUUAUAUGCCCAUAUACAGGAAAUAGCUGCAAAGACACACCAAACUGUUAGCAACAGUUACCACCUGGUAAUGGAGAUGCAAUAGGGGAGGGACAAAGGAAAAGAAAAAAGACACCUUUAUUUUAUAUUCUGUAUCAUUUGAGUUACUUAAAACAGUA